rnacentral:rRNA from 1 species
AUACGGAGGGUGCAAGCGUUGUUCGGAAUCACUGGGCGUAAAGGGCGCGCAGGCGGUUUGGUAAGUCAGAUGUGAAAGCCCACGGCUCAACCGUGGAAGUGCAUUUGAAACUGCCAGACUUGAGUACUAGAGGGGAAAGUGGAAUUCCCGGUGUAGAGGUGAAAUUCGUAGAUAUCGGGAGGAAUACCGGUGGCGAAGGCGACUUUCUGGCUAGAUACUGACGCUGAGGCGCGAAAGCGUGGGGAGCAAACAGGAUUAGAAACCCUAGUAGUCC